ensembl:lncRNA
GGGAAGCCCCGUGUGCUCCAACAGGAAGGGCUCUGCAGCCGUCCCGACACUGCCGAGAUGAGACCAGCGUGCCAGGCAGGUCCUAGCCUCAUCUGGGUCUGGAAUUUAAAUACUUGUUUCAUGAUCCCCUGCCUAGACAUGGAGACUUUCCAAAACAAAAUGGCUAAAUGAAUUCUGAGAGAUUACUGCAGACUCCAUGAGGUUCCUCAGGCUGUGGUGUGAGGUCUUAGCUGCCCUGUGGUAUGUGGGCUCCUCGAUCCCCCAGCAAUGAUGGAACCCGCUUCCCCUGCAUUGGGAAUCCCCUUGGCAUAGGACCCUGAGUAUCCACUGUAGGGAUGUGGGUUC